CCGCGUUUGUUGUGAGGUGCACGUGUGUCCAGUUCUCUGUUUUAUCGGACACUUACUUACCGUCAAAGUGAGACAGAACUGCCGAAGUCUCAUGUGAAACCUGUCCAAUACUGCCAGCAGAUUCGACUUCUAUCAGUCUCCGUUUAUCCCCACCGCUGCUUUCCGAAAAGAAUCUACAGCUCGCAGUAGUUAAGCGCUUUUACCUUCAUUUAUCUUCUAAAGCUGGCCAUCACAUCCGCCCCUCGCCUUGAUCCACAUCGCACAUAGGAAUAGUAUACCCACGACGUUCUCUGGCUUGUGUGUGUGCCGGGAGUGUGUUAGCGCCGCAGCGGAGCGUGAAGCAUGGACAGACUCACACAGACGAUCGACAAAAUAGCUUAAUUCUUGCCGCCACGCCCCGCCGACGAUCGAAAGCCAGGAAGAGGAGGAAGAGGAGGAAAAGCGAUGGUAAGCUGUAAUAGAAUGGAAGCAGAGAGAGAGAGGGAGAGAGAGGAGAGCGAGAGGUAUUGCUUCAGCCUUGUGUCUUGUGUUUAUAGAGCUCCGUGAUGGGAU